GACAGAGGGUGCAAACGUUGUUCGGAAUUACUGGGCGUAAAGCGUGUGUAGGCGGUCUUGUAAGUCGGGUGUGAAAGGCCCAGGGCUCAACCCUGGAAGUGCACUCGAAACUGCAAGGCUAGAGUACCGGAGAGGUUGGUGGAAUUCUCGGUGUAGAGGUGAAAUUCGUAGAUAUCGAGAGGAACACCGGCGGCGAAGGCGGCCAACUGGACGAGUACUGACGCUGAGACACGAAAGCGUGGGGAGCAAACAGG
rnacentral:rRNA from 1 species